AUGUACUGCUGCUGAUGUGCAAUCCGAUAGCGAGGCCUCGAGACAGCUAAAAGAAGCAGUCUGUGUGUAAUGUAAUUACAGUGCUGACGAGGGCUGUGAUGCAGGAUUAGGUGCUAUAUACAGUACAGAAACUGCUCGACACUUCAGUAGCACUCCUGAGGCAUAGGAAAAGGAUAGGACAGAUGGCCGAAGAAAGAAGCACCAGGCUGAGGCAGCACAUGUUUCACAGAUGGAGGGAGGCACACUUGGAAACAUCUGCGUCAAGGCAGAGCCUUCAGGGACUAAAAUCGCUUUAAAAAGGAAAAACAUGGAUGUAAAAUGACCACAUCAAUUAGCUGACGACACAAGUUAGCUGGACUUCAUGAAACCAACAUAGAUUAAAUUUAAAAAGUGCGCAGAUUCCUCAAGAACAAACCAUGACAAGCAGACCAAACACAGCCAAAAC